UUAAGGGCGCACGGUGGAUGCCUUGGCACUAGAAGCCGAUGAAGGACGUUACUAACGACGAUAUGCUUUGGGGAGCUGUAAGUAAGCUUUGAUCCAGAGAUUUCCGAAUGGGGAAACCCAGCAUGAGUUAUGUCAUGUUAUCGAUAUGUGAAUACAUAGCAUAUCAGAAGGCACACCCGGAGAACUGAAACAUCUUAGUACCCGGAGGAAGAGAAAGAAAAUUCGAUUCCCUUAGUAGCGGCGAGCGAAACGGGAAGAGCCCAAACCAACAAGCUUGCUUGUUGGGGUUGUAGGACACUCUAUACGGAGUUACAAAGGACGACAUUAGACGAAUCAUCUGGAAAGAUGAAUCAAAGAAGGUAAUAAUCCUGUAGUCGAAAAUGUUGUCUCUCUUGAGUGGAUCCUGAGUACGACGGAGCACGUGAAAUUCCGUCGGAAUCUGGGAGGACCAUCUCCUAAGGCUAAAUACUCUCUAGUGACCGAUAGUGAACCAGUACCGUGAGGGAAAGGUGAAAAGCACCCCGGAAGGGGAGUGAAAUAGAACCUGAAACCGUGUGCUUACAAGUAGUCAGAGCCCGUUAAUGGGUGAUGGCGUGCCUUUUGUAGAAUGAACCGGCGAGUUACGAUUUGAUGCAAGGUUAAGCAGUAAAUGUGGAGCCGUAGCGAAAGCGAGUCUGAAUAGGGCGUUUAGUAUUUGGUCGUAGACCCGAAACCAGGUGAUCUACCCUUGGUCAGGUUGAAGUUCAGGUAACACUGAAUGGAGGACCGAACCGACUUACGUUGAAAAGUGAGCGGAUGAACUGAGGGUAGCGGAGAAAUUCCAAUCGAACCUGGAGAUAGCUGGUUCUCUCCGAAAUAGCUUUAGGGCUAGCCUCAAGUGAUGAUUAUUGGAGGUAGAGCACUGUUUGGACGAGGGGCCCCUCUCGGGUUACCGAAUUCAGACAAACUCCGAAUGCCAAUUAAUUUAACUUGGGAGUCAGAACAUGGGUGAUAAGGUCCGUGUUCGAAAGGGAAACAGCCCAGACCACCAGCUAAGGUCCCAAAAUAUAUGUUAAGUGGAAAAGGAUGUGGCGUUGCCCAGACAACUAGGAUGUUGGCUUAGAAGCAGCCAUCAUUUAAAGAGUGCGUAAUAGCUCACUAGUCGAGUGACACUGCGCCGAAAAUGUACCGGGGCUAAACAUAUUACCGAAGCUGUGGAUUGUCCUUUGGACAAUGGUAGGAGAGCGUUCUAAGGGCGUUGAAGCAUGAUCGUAAGGACAUGUGGAGCGCUUAGAAGUGAGAAUGCCGGUGUGAGUAGCGAAAGACGGGUGAGAAUCCCGUCCACCGAUUGACUAAGGUUUCCAGAGGAAGGCUCGUCCGCUCUGGGUUAGUCGGGUCCUAAGCUGAGGCCGACAGGCGUAGGCGAUGGAUAACAGGUUGAUAUUCCUGUACCACCUAUAAUCGUUUUAAUCGAUGGGGGGACGCAGUAGGAUAGGCGAAGCGUGCGAUUGGAUUGCACGUCUAAGCAGUAAGGCUGAGUAUUAGGCAAAUCCGGUACUCGUUAAGGCUGAGCUGUGAUGGGGAGAAGACAUUGUGUCUUCGAGUCGUUGAUUUCACACUGCCGAGAAAAGCCUCUAGAUAGAAAAUAGGUGCCCGUACCGCAAACCGACACAGGUAGUCAAGAUGAGAAUUCUAAGGUGAGCGAGCGAACUCUCGUUAAGGAACUCGGCAAAAUGACCCCGUAACUUCGGGAGAAGGGGUGCUCUUUAGGGUUAACGCCCAGAAGAGCCGCAGUGAAUAGGCCCAAGCGACUGUUUAUCAAAAACACAGGUCUCUGCUAAACCGUAAGGUGAUGUAUAGGGGCUGACGCCUGCCCGGUGCUGGAAGGUUAAGAGGAGUGGUUAGCUUCUGCGAAGCUACGAAUCGAAGCCCCAGUAAACGGCGGCCGUAACUAUAAAGGUCCUAAGGAAGCGAAAUUCCUUGUCGGGUAAGUUCCGACCCGCACGAAAGGCGUAACGAUUUGGGCACUGUCUCAACGAGAGACUCGGUGAAAUCAUAGUACCUGUGAAGAUGCAGGUUACCCGCGACAGGACGGAAAGACCCCGUGGAGCUUUACUGUAGCCUGAUAUUGAAAUUCGGCACAGCUUGUACAGGAUAGGUAGGAGCCUUUGAAACGUGAGCGCUAGCUUACGUGGAGGCGCUGGUGGGAUACUACCCUAGCUGUGUUGGCUUUCUAACCCGCACCACUUAUCGUGGUGGGAGACAGUGUCAGGCGGGCAGUUUGACUGGGGCGGUCGCCUCCUAAAAGGUAACGGAGGCGCUCAAAGGUUCCCUCAGAAUGGUUGGAAAUCAUUCAUAGAGUGUAAAGGCAUAAGGGAGCUUGACUGCGAGACCUACAAGUCGAGCAGGGUCGAAAGACGGACUUAGUGAUCCGGUGGUUCCGCAUGGAAGGGCCAUCGCUCAACGGAUAAAAGCUACCCCGGGGAUAACAGGCUUAUCUCCCCCAAGAGUUCACAUCGACGGGGAGGUUUGGCACCUCGAUGUCGGCUCAUCGCAUCCUGGGGCUGUAGUCGGUCCCAAGGGUUGGGCUGUUCGCCCAUUAAAGCGGUACGCGAGCUGGGUUCAGAACGUCGUGAGACAGUUCGGUCCCUAUCCGUCGUGGGCGUAGGAAAUUUGAGAGGAGCUGUCCUUAGUACGAGAGGACCGGGAUGGACAUACCUCUGGUGUACCAGUUGUCGUGCCAACGGCAUAGCUGGGGAGCUAUGUGUGGACGGGAUAAGUGCUGAAAGCAUCUAAGCAUGAAGCCCCCCUCAAGAUGAGAUUUCCCAACUUCGGUUAUAAGAUCCCUCAAAGAUGAUGAGGUUAAUAGGUUCGAGGUGGAAGCAUGGUGACAUGUGGAGCUGACGAAUACUAAUCGAUCGAAGACUUAAUC
rnacentral:rRNA from 1 species